UGGUCGAGUGAUCCUGCGCCGAAGAUUUCCGGGGCUAAAACUUACUACCGAAGCUACGGCAUCAGUAAUGAUGGGUAGGGGAGCUUCCCAUACGGGUUGAAGUAUGACCGUAAGGACAUGUGGACAGUAUGGGAGUGAGAAUGUUGGCAUGAGUAGCGAGAUGUGGGUGAGAAUCCCACAGGCCGUAAACCCAAGGUUUCCAGGG
rnacentral:rRNA from 1 species